rnacentral:rRNA from 1 species
GACGAACGCUGGCGGCGUGCCUAAUACAUGCAAGUAGGACGCAGUUGCGAACGGGUGAGUAACGCGUAGGUAACUGCCUAUUAGAGGGGGAUAACUAUUGGAAACGAUAGCUAAUACCGCAUACUAGUAGAUGGAUCUGCGUUGUAUUAGCUAGUAGGUAGGGUAAUGGCCUACCUAGGCGACGAUACCUAGCCGACCUGGGAAGGUGGACGGGCACACUGGGAACGGGGACCCGCCCAGACUCCUUCGGGAGGGCACAGUAGGGGAUUAUCGGCAAUGGGGCGAAACCUGACUGAGCACCGGCGCGUUAGUGGAAGAGGUUUUCGGGUCUUUAAGCUCUGUUGUGAAGGGAGCGGUACUUAACCAGGAAGGAACGGCUAACUACGUGCCAGCCGCCGCGGUAAUAC